rnacentral:rRNA from 1 species
UAGGGAAUCUUCCGCAAUGGGCGCAAGCCUGACGGAGCAACGCCGCGUGUGUGAAGAAGGUCUUCGGAUCGUAAAGCACUGUUGUUAGAGAAGAACGACCGCUAGAGUAACUGUUAGCGGAGUGACGGUAUCUAACCAGAAAGCCACGGCUAACUACGUGCCAGCAGCCGCGGUAAUACGUAGGUGGCAAGCGUUGUCCGGAUUUAUUGGGCGUAAAGGGAGCGCAGGCGGUGACUUAAGUCUGAUGUGAAAGCCCACGGCUCAACCGUGGAGGGUCAUUGGAAACUGGGUCGCUUGAGUGCAGAAGAGGAAAGUGGAAUUCCGUGUGUAGCGGUGAAAUGCGUAGAUAUAUGGAGGAACACCAGUGGCGAAGGCGACUUUCUGGUCUGUAACUGACGCUGAGGCUCGAAAGCGUGGGGAGCAAACAGG